UACAGAGGUGGCAAGCGUUGUUCGGAAUUACUGGGCGUAAAGGGCGCGUAGGCGGUCCGGUAAGUCCUGUGUGAAAUCCCUCGGCUCAACUGAGGAACUGCACGGGAGACUGCCGGGCUUGAGUUCGGGAGAGGGAAGCGGAAUUCCGGGUGUAGCGGUGAAAUGCGUAGAUAUCCGGAGGAACACCGGUGGCGAAGGCGGCUUCCUGGACCGACACUGACGCUGAGGCGCGAAAGCGUGGGGAGCAAACAGG
rnacentral:rRNA from 1 species